CGCCUCCACCUCCUCCACCUCUUUCUCCUCCGCCGGGAGGCUGGGACUUGUAGUGCAGCGAGAGGCGAACUACAGCUCCCACAAUGCCAGACAGUGCCGGAGCCACUUGUUGCAUGGAUGUCCUGGGUUGACCUUUGAUUAAGUUGCUUCUGAAACAUACUAGAGAGGCAGAGCAGCCUUGAAGUCUCUCUACAGCAGCAUUUUCACUCCUGUGAGCCACAUCAGGACCAUUCACAAGCGCCUCUGUCUCUCUCCAGCUGCAAUCCCACAAAGAGGGAUGAGAAUCGCAGCAACGACCAGCUCUGUUUGCAAACAGCUGCAAGUCCUUUUGUACAAGCCUGGUUUUGUCCCACGUCAAAGCUUCUCCAGGAGCCAACUCACCCUGUGUGCUUCAGUGCCAGGAGGUGUUUGAACCUGCUUUGAACAGACAUUCCACCUGUCAAACAGCAACCAGGAGGUGUUAACCCUGACAAGAAGCACGCUGAGGAACUGAGGAACUGAGGAACGGAGCAGCUCAGCCCUUGCAGGCUGUCAGGGCGACUGCGUGACUCCGGGUGCCGAAUUCUGCAUCUGAGGCUGAAAUUACACGCUAGGAAAAUUACAUGGUAGCUGAGAUAACAGCUUGCUGUUGACAAAAAGGGAAGAGCCUGCUCUUCACUGCCUUCAGUCACCAUCCACAUGCAGCCUGGCUGCAGUUUAUGCUGGUGCUGGCAUUGCCAUCACCCUGUGCUGAUUCACCUUGCCAUGAAGGCAAGAAAAGGCAGCUUCUUCUUGCCAGGUGAGUGAGGUUGAAUUGGGUCAGCCAAACUUAGUAUAUCUCUCUGAAAGGGAGUUUUGUAACUGGCUUAAGCUGCCCUGGUCUAAGACAGGAAAAAAAAGGAGCAUUCCCACCUUAUGGUCCAUCACUUGCCGAGUUUUCCUGCUGCUUCCAUGUGUUGGCAGAGAGCUGCUCUUUCUGAAAGGCAAAGCAACCCAAAAAAUCAAGGUCAGUUUUCCUUGACCUUUCCUGAGGAAGGCAGCAAGAUUGAUCAGCUGGGAGAGGGAUUGAUCAUGUGGGACCACCUCCCAUGGCAGGCUUAACCCAGCCUAAACCAGCUGGAAAAGUGCAUUCUAACCUGAGUGAAAUCCUGGUGAAGGCACAGCCCCCUGGGUGGCAGAUGGGUUGAUCCAAUUAACUACUCCUCUCUCCUCAUGAUUAGGCAUGAAACUGCUAAAAUCCAAGACCCAUGAAAGUAAAACUUCACCAGCACACUGGUGAAACCAAGUGGGAGAUGGAGAUUUCCCAGACAAACUCUCUUUCUGGUUGGCAGCAGCACUCCAAGCCUGUCACAUCCCUGCAAUCUGAUUUUUUAUCCUGCACACUCCAGUUCAGUGACAUUUCCUCUGAAUGACACCUGCUUGUCUCUGGUUUGAUCCAUCGGGUAGAGAAUGACUCGGUUUUAUUCUGCUUGUGAGAAGGCAUCAGCAGGGGUGCCGGUACGCGAAUUACAACACAUGCAGAUUUUGGGAGGGCAGCAUUCUCCUGGAAAAGGGAGGCGCUGGGAAGGGCCCUGGGCUCAGGGCAGCCACGAGGUGGCACGCUGGGCUUUCACUGCCGCGCCUCCUCUUCCAGGAGCGAGUUAUUCGGGAAAAGCAGGCAGAUCUUCAGUGGAGUUAUGUAAAACAGCAUCCCUGCAAUAACAGGCUUUGAUUUCCACACAAGUGGCUAGUUAGAUCCGAAGUUAUUGUCAUAUGACUGAAAUAGAUCUCUUAUGUCAGUCAAAACAGAAUGGAGGAUGUGAGUCAUGCUUUGCAAAAAGCAGGAAGUUUGGUUUUGUUGGCAAAAAUUUUUAAUACAGAGAGAAAAUUAUAGAGCUGCAUCGCCACGUUUGUCAUAAGGAUUCCAGAAUAACGUUGUCCAUCCCUUGGAGCAAUGUUUCCAAAACAAAAACAAAAAAAAAAAGCUUUUUUGCAUUCUGAUGAUUAUUCAUUAUUCCUCGGUGCCACGGAAUGUAGGAGGAGUCUGGAAGGAAACGUGUGCCCUGGUGAGAAGCGGCAGAUCCUCCCCAAAAUGAAAGGCUGCGAUUGGGAACGCGAGGGAAUGAGGUCAUGCUGUGGCGUUUGGUGUGAUAAACCUUCCUCACCCAGCACAGGGAUAACCAUGGCCCAGGAGGUUGGAAACAGCUGAUGCAGACUUGUGUGUGGGCAUUCCUCCUCAGUGAGCCUUGAUUGACCAGGGCAAUUCUAGGGGGCUGAAAAAGUGCCAGCUUGGUGCCUGUCUUCAGGAGAGGAGGCUGCAUGAUAUGGAGGAAAUGUAGAUUUAAUAACAUCAUAUCUGUGGAUAAUAUUCUGGAUAAACACCAAAAAUGGGUGUUGUGUCACUCACAUUAGUAAUGCCAGUCAGAGUCUAACAGAAAUCUCAUUUCAUGCUUCUAAAAGACAACAAAUAAUUCAAUUUCCUCCAAAAGGAAGGAAAGCUGAAAUAAACUUUUAAAAGGAUUUUUACUUAGAACUGCACAAUGUUUUAAUUAA